rnacentral:tRNA from 1 species
GCUGUGUGGCUCAGUGUUAGAGCACACGUUUAUCACACAGGAGACUCUGGGUUCAAUUCCCAGCAGCA